CUCCUGCUUGCGCCCGGGCGCCGCGCUCCCGAGGUCGGUGUGAGAGUGCCUGGGAAAGAUGCCUGCAGUGCCUCAGAUCCAGGAGCUGCCUCCUCUUAAUGAAUUUGGCUGCCCUAAGCCAAGACGGCUUCUGGUUUUGCCUCUUUUCGCAGCAUAAUAACCUCCAGACAAGAAAUCAGUUGCAGUCCAGACACCUGAGGGAGGCGGUGUAGGGCUGGGAACUUGGACUGGAUCCUCCGACAGACCAAGGUUCCAAUCCAGCUGGUAAACUGUCACUUACCAGCUGUGUGGCCUUAGGCAAGCUACAUAACUUCAUAGCGUCCCAGUUUCUCUGUAUGAAGUCAGAUCCGUGCCCAAAUAAAGAAGGCUAAAGUUCAGUGACAGCAUAGCUUUAACCCAUUAAGUCCUCAAAUUUCAAUUCUGUGAAUAAUAUUUCAACGAAAUUGACAACGAUGCAUUAAAUUAGGUUGGAAAUGA